ensembl:lncRNA LOC120096727 uncharacterized LOC120096727
GGCAUUUGGAGUGGAAACGUAUUCCAAGGUUAUUGUAAGUCAUUGCAGAAGAAAACAGACCAAUUUUCCUAUGAGUAAAAUCCUGAAAAGAAAUAAAAUUCAAAGCAAACCUAAUGGAGACAUCAUGGCACGUGUGAGGACGGACGGCGAGCCAGUGCUGGCAUUCUCAAAGCCUCGCUGACCCAGGGAAGACCUGGGUUUUCAUUUCUGUUUUGAGUGAGGCAGAGAGACUCAGCUCAGACUGCUUAGAUGACGUUUUUCCAUCAGACGCCAUGGAUGACAACAGAGCUG